GACAGAGGGGGCAAGCGUUGCUCGGAAUUACUGGGCGUAAAGAGCUCGUAGGCGGUCUGUCGCGUCGGAUGUGAAAACCCAGGGCUCAACCCUGGGCCUGCAUUCGAUACGGGCAGACUAGAGUACGGCAGGGGAGACUGGAAUUCCUGGUGUAGCGGUGAAAUGCGCAGAUAUCAGGAGGAACACCGGUGGCGAAGGCGGGUCUCUGGGCCGAAACUGACGCUGAGGAGCGAAAGCGUGGGGAGCGAACAGG
rnacentral:rRNA from 1 species